UUCUUACUUCACCCCGGCGCCAGCAGCCAGCACCCAGCAGCCGCCACGCAGGUCAGUUGUCUGUAGUGGCUGCUUCCGCCAGGGUGUGUGUGGUGUGGCGGCCGUGUGACAUGGCCCAUGCUGGUUCCCUGCUGUUCCUUGGCCUACCUUCAUGAUGGACAUGCGCGAGGUGUUAGGGGCGUCCAAGUGGUUCCUAGCAGCUGAUCUCCAGACGGUGACCUUGUCCAGUGACCAGCAGUGCGUGACCUUCGUGGUGCACUUCAUGGGCCCCAGCGCAGGUCGUCUUGAGCUGGACUUAUCCCGCGUGCUGGCUGGCCGCAAUCUGGACCCCCCCACCAUCAUCAUCAGGGGCGUGUCCUGACCCGGACCGCCCCAAGAAGCUGCCCUACAGGACCUGCGGGAGCCUGGAGGAGGAGACACUGCUGGAGGAGUAUAAGAGCGAGUCUUGGGGAUGGGAAGGGAGAGGAGAGUACAAGGUGUAAGGGUAGAUGGGAGCACUGGAAAGGGGAGGGGAGGGGAGGUGAGUAUGGCAGUUGGGGGGAGGAAGGGCAAGAAAAUGGAAGGGAAGGAGAAAAAGGAAAUGAAAGGGAGGGAAAGUAGGAGGGUGGUGGCAGGGGAUAUGGGUGGUGUUUGGGUAUUUAGUUCAGAGGUUUAGGCUGUUUGCUCAGCGUUUGUUUCCUUUAGGCAUCUCAAAUGUUCCUUUGCAGAGCACAUCCCCAAUCCCUUUGCAGAGGUUUCCUUUUGAUAUCUCAAAUGUUCUUUUGCAGAACAUAUCCCCAAUCCCUUUGCAGAGGUUUCCUUUAGGCAUCUCAAAUGUUCCUUUGCAGAACAUAUCCCCAAUCCCUUUGCAUCCCCAAUCCGUUUGCAGAGGUUUCUUAUCAGGUUUUUUCUUUUGCGGCCAACACCCCGUGGGAUCUCAAGGGCGGUGUUGCCGGAGCUGGCCUCGCCUCCGCCCUGCUGCUGCCUCUGCUUCACCUCAUCGCCUGCGAUAAACCCAUCAACAUCAAGGCAUCUUGGUUUUCGCGUCCAUCCCCGCCCCCCUUAGUUCCUCUCACCCUGCAUAGGGGGCCUGUACAUUAUGUAGAUAGGAAGCUAUAAUUGUGUUAAAUUAUAGAUAUAUUAUGCAAUAAUUAUCUUUAUGCAUAUAUAUAUAUAUAUAUAAAAUGCAAUAUUGUUCGUUAUGCAUAUAUACAAAAUACAAUAAUAGUGUUCGUUUCCCUUUCCUGGAUGUGAAUACGAUGCCAGCUGUGGGGAGUGGAUAGAGAGGUUGGCGAGUGCCAGAGUGUGGAAGCUUAAACUUUUCAACAAAACCAUUUUUACUCAAAACGUGCAGUUACACUCGUUUCGCUUACAAAAUACCUCGAAGACUCUCCGGAGAAAAACACCACGACCAUUUUCAGAUAUGAGCAAACUUAGUUUUUAUUAAAUAAAAACUAUACAUAUAUUUCUUUUAUAUUAAAAACUAUUUUUUUUAUUUAAAAAAAAAA